CCCAGUAAACGGCGGCCGUAACUAUAACGGUCCUAAGGUAGCGAAAUUCCUUGUCAGGUAAAUUCUGACCCGCACGAAUGGCGUAACGACUUGGGCGCUGUCUCAACGAGAGAUCCGGUGAAAUUUUAAUACCUGUGAAGAUGCAGGUUACCCGCGACAAGACGGAAAGACCCCAUGGAGCUUUACUGCAGCUUGAUAUUGAACUUGGGUACGAUCUGUACAGGAUAGGUGGGAGCCAAAGAGUCAUGAGCGCCAGCUUGUGAGGAGGCGACGUUGGGAUACCACCCUGAUCGUAUCCGUGUUCUAACCCAGUACCGUAAACCGGUACGGGGACCGUGUCAGGUGGGCAGUUUGACUGGGGCGGUCGCCUCCUAAAAAGUAACGGAGGCGCCCUAAGGUUCCCUCAGAAUGGUUGGAAAUCAUUCGCAGAGUGUAAAGGCACAAGGGAGCUUGACUGCGAGACAAACAGGUCGAGCAGGGACGAAAGUCGGGCUUAGUGAUCCGGUGGUACCGAAUGGAAGGGCCAUCGCUCAACGGAUAAAAGCUACCCUGGGGAUAACAGGCUUAUCUCCCCCAAGAGUCCACAUCGACGGGGAGGUUUGGCACCUCGAUGUCGGCUCAUCGCAUCCUGGGGCUGAAGUAGGUCCCAAGGGUUGGGCUGUUCGCCCAUUAAAGCGGUACGCGAGCUGGGUUCAGAACGUCGUGAGACAGUUCGGUCCCUAUCUGUCGUGGGCGCAGGAAAUUUGAGAGGAGCUGUCCUUAGUACGAGAGGACCGGGAUGGACGCACCGCUGGUGUACCAGUUGUCUCGCCAGAGGCAUCGCUGGGUAGCUAUGUACGGAGGGGAUAAGCGCUGAAAGCAUCUAAGCGCGAAGCCCCCCUCAAGAUGAGAUUUCCCAAUUUAGUAAGACCCCUUGUAGACGACGAGGUAGAUAGGUUCGGGGUGGAAGUGCCGCAAGGUAUGGAGCUGACGAAUACUAAUCGGUCGAGGGCUUAUCCAA
rnacentral:rRNA from 1 species